UACAGAGGUGGCAAGCGUUGUUCGGAAUUACUGGGCGUAAAGGGCGCGUAGGCGGCCAUCUAAGUCAGACGUGAAAUCCCCCGGCUUAACCUGGGAACUGCGUCUGAUACUGGAAGGCUUGAGUAUGGGAGAGGGAUGUAGAAUUCCAGGUGUAGCAGUGAAAUGCGUAGAUAUCUGGAGGAAUACCGGUGGCGAAGGCGGCAUCCUGGACCAUUACUGACGCUGAGGCGCGAAAGCGUGGGGAGCAAACGGG
rnacentral:rRNA from 1 species